UGUUGGUGCCUUCCAUCCGGUGAGAAUGGAUCUCCAGGCUCUCUCAUCAAUGGCUUUGAUGUAUGCCCUCAUCUUGACUUUCCAGUAGGUGUAGUUUGUGCCGUCGAGUACAGGAGGUCGCAUAGAAGCAGUCAUCUGAGUAUCCAUCACGAAUUCGUUUCUGAAAAAGAAAAAUAGGAACAAACACUUAGUAUAUGUCAAGUGUUGGCUCUUGAUGCCAAUUGAAAGAAUUUAUGGUCCCGAAUUCGUUUAAUACAGAGG
rnacentral:lncRNA from 1 species